CUCAUUCACUCAUCUGAUUUUUGAAGACCUCUCAAAGUGUUCUCUCCAUUUUUCAACCCCAAGAACACCAAGGAAACUUUGAGGCUAAGUCUUGGUCUAGGAAGUAUUUUCCCUAAGUUUGUUAGGGUUUUUGAAAGGUUUUGAAGGAGUCAAAGCUUAUAGGAAGGUCCAAACCUUAAGCAAGAACACCAAAGAGGUAAGUGCAAGGGCAAGGCAGAGCAGUGAGCGCUGGAGUCUUCCUUGCAAAUGUACAUGUGGACCGACCUUUUGG